GAUUUCUAUAAUCACUUCUUUAGUUGUUUAAGUAAUAUAAUGUUUUAAUUAUUAAGUUCAUAUGAAGUUGAGGUUAAAUCAAUGGAUUAUUUUGAUAAAUGCACGAAUGGGUCGAAUAAUUCAUAGAUGAAUAACAAGCCGAAUACGUAUAAGUUAAGAAAUUCCUUAACUCGGAUGUUGGACUUCAAGAUCACGUGAUAGAAUAUUAAAUUACAAUCAUAUAGGAAGAAACGUGACGCAAAACGGACGAAAAAUGAGAGAGUUAUGUCCGUUUCAGUAAGGAUUAAUGGCUAGGAAAAGUGCAGAGUUGACACGGCCGGGUGGUGAACUGACACGGCCGGGUGAAGGUUCUGUCAAAAAUAUUAUUUAUGUGAUUUAUGCGUCGUAGGCUUCGGUAUAUUAUCCGUGAACUACGACGGGCCUCCCAAACAUGAUUUCGAGUGUUUCCUUGACGAUUAUAAGUUGUAAACCCAAGUCUAAGCCUCAUGUAAUUUAUAUAAGAGUGUGAUAGAUGUAUGUAAUGAAGUUGGACAUGUAUUACAUGUAAAUGUAUACAAAAAUACGUACGGAACACGUAGGUAUGAAUACAUGAUUGUAGGUAUGAUUAAAUGUAUAUUAGGUAUGUAGAUGUGUAUGAUUGUAAGUUUGUAUGUGUGCAAGUAUGUGCGAAUGCAUGAUUUGGAUGCAUUUGAGAAUUAGCGUUACUAAUAAUGCCCUUGGGUUUGGAAUAUAAGUUGAUUGGAUGCAUUUAAAUGGUUAACGUCCUUUUUAUGAAGAUGUAGUAAAUGAAUAUGUUGAGAUUACGGGUUUGGCUAACCAAGUUAUUAUUGAGUAUGUUUGAAAGUGCAGGUUAUGAAUGUCGGACUUUCGAAGUGUUGAUAUAAUAAUGAAACGGUUGAAUGUUGAAAGGAUAAUCGGAUUGAAGUAACUUAUGCGGUUAGAAUAUGCUAUGGACGUUUUAGUUUAUACAAUAUUAUAUGUUUGGUCGUCACCAUCUACUAACAGGUAAAUCCUCAAUUUUGGCGACUUGGAGAAUCGGAGCGAGCGCGUGUUCGUGUUAUGCGAUACCAAACGCUUCCGCUAGCUUGUUCAAAUGUUUUUGAUCCAAAAUUUGUUGUAUUGGUUUUUAGUAGUAUCUUGUUGAACGAAUUGUAGAAUUGUAUCUAGUUUGUUUAUGUUUAAAACAGGGGUAUGCUCGUUUUAUGGACGGGUCAUGCCCGAUUUUUGUUAAA